UUGGAAACCAUUAUUCUAAGUGAAGUAACUCAGGAAUAGAAAACCAAACAUCGUACGUUCUCACUUAUACGUGGGAGCUAAGUUAUGAGCAUGCAAAAACAUAAGAAUGAUACAAUGGGCUUUGCUGACUUGGGGAAAGGGUGGGAAGUGGGUGAGGGAUAAAAGACUACACGUUGGUUACAGUGUACACUGCUUGUGUAAUAGGUGCACCAGAAUCUCAGAAAUGGCCACUGAAGAACUUAUUCAUGUAACUGAUCGCUACCCAUUCCCCGAAAACCAUUGAAAUUAAUAAAAAGUUAUUACCUAAAUCUGCAAAGGAGCCACUCAUAUCAUUGACAAAUGAGUGAAAUCCCUAUAUACAUUUCCUUUGUUGUUUUACUUUCCUUUUUUACUCAUUAAGGAAAACAUCAACCAACAUUCAUGUCAGAAUUAUGCUCCUUUGUCUUUCACACAGCACGGCCACAGAUACAGGUAUUCCUCAAAAGGCAACAUUCUGAACAAUCGGUUGGCUCACAUUAGAAUCCAUUGUUGUUUCUGUCCACAGCAUCAUCAUGAUCUUGAAAUGAAAAGACAGAAGGGCAAAUGCUCUGCAUUGCUUGUUGGUUUGUAACCAAACAUCUACCAUGGCCCAAGGCCCAGGAAGCUGUCCCUUCACAUUGUGUGUGGCCAACUGAGACUGGAGACCAUCUUAGACUGGAUUAAGACCAUCUCAGACUGGAUUAAGGCUGUGAUCAGUUUCUGCUGCUUCCCUGCUUUGCUCUUCUUUUUCCCUCCGUGUUGCUCAGUGCAGUUUCCAACACCUUCACAAAGGGGGCAGAGAAGUGACGAGCCUUAAAGAGGGGCAUGGAGGGUAGGGCAGGAAACUUAUUUGACCAGUGCUGUGGAAGCUUGGCUUCAUGCUUUCUGGGCCUGGCAGAUGUUUAAUGCUUCCUUUCUCUUGUAGACAUGUGUAUGGGUUUCUUGGAGACGUUUCCAGGGUUGGGCAUCUCCUACCUACAGUUCCCUUGUAUUUGUCUGUUUUCACACUGCUAUAAAGAACUACCUGAGGACAGGCACCAUGGCUCACGCCGGUAAUCCCAGCACUUUGGGGGCUAAGG
rnacentral:lncRNA from 1 species